UGUGGGAGCGAGAUAGAGACUUACUGUAUACUUUUUUAAUGAACUAGUCAGUCUUUUUCUCUCUCCUAUA
rnacentral:pre_miRNA from 12 species